UAAUACAGACAUAACAAAAUCCCGACCAAAUAAAAUACAGAUAACACAUUAUUCAGACAAGACAAAAUCCCGACAACUCAAAAUCCCGACAAGACACAAUCCAGACAAAA